UCUCAGUCAGUCGUAGUCACUACUCACCGACCGUCGUCAGCCGUUAGCUUUCGUCGUUAAUGAUGAACAUGAUAAAUAGUGUUCUUGCACGCAUGGAUUGUGAUAUAUUCAGAAAAGAUUUCCUUUUUGUAUGAAGGUGUGACCUUCAAAGUGUUAAUUAAUGGCUUGCAUGUUUUCUCUGUUUCUUUGCGGGGCUGUUAAAGUUUUUAGCUCAUCAUAAGCUUAGAGAUGCUUCUGUUGUGUGAGCAAACUAAUAUUAUUCCUUCCAUAAUAUGAACAUAUUAAUUUAUCGCAUUUAAUUUUCCUUUUAAA